AUGUGGAGUUACAUCUCAUAAAAAAUACUAUCUCGGAUCUCAUUUAGAAUUAAACUCUUCCUUAUCAUUACAUAAGAGCACUAAUCAUCAUAGAGAUGGGAUAGAGUCUAUGACUCCUAUAUUAAAUAAACCACAUAUGCUCUCUGACCAAUCAAUUAGUUUAUUAUUAUUAUAUUCAACCUUCUUCAAGGGAUCUUCUAUC
rnacentral:lncRNA from 1 species